GGAAAAAUAUUUCUUCCUAGGAUUGUGGGUCAUUCCUUUCCUGAGACAGGGAAUCACUUAAUUCUUUGGACAUAGGUUCUCAUCACAUGGCUUAAAAUCAUCCUCAAUGUCCCUGGUAGCAAAGUUGUUGACCAACACAUGGUCACAGAGGUGAUUCUGCCUGAGGUUGUGAUCCAGUGGCUGCAAACAAACAAGCCGAGACGAUGCUCAUGACUACUACAAGGACAACGAGGGGUAAAGAACGAUUGUGGGUGUACACCUACAUAUACCACAGUCAUUAUAGAAUGCAGUACUGCCUCACCCCCCUUCCCUCUUUUUUUCUUUUAUUUCCAGACUUCAGGAUGUCAAAGAAGACCAAGCUACAGAAAAGGUAAACAGAAAAGGUUUGUUUAACAAAAUAGGUAUUUGAAUGUAAGCUGUUUUUGUCAAAUGUAAAUGGAAAUCUGAUCCCUUAAUGUAGGCUAAAUUAGCAAUCUGUAAUAACAGGUAACGGUGUACACUUAUCCACCUUAUUUAAAACGGAAAUACGGAGACAGUGAGUUGACAUUUUUUGUGCGAGACUUCCUGUAGGUCACUUCCUGUCCCUGUUUAGCUGGCUGAAAAGCGACUCAUGCAGUUACCAAAUUACUCGUCCUUAUGAUUUCGAGGAAGACCAGGAGCAUUUGUCCAGUUACAGGCUGUCUUAAUAACUGGUGUAAAACAAAAGUCUAUGUGGAGCAGGAGUGUUUUAAUCAUCGACCGUGUACAAGAGCUGUUGAUGCGAGGCGCCCCAUUUCCUUUAACACUGAUACUCCGGAAAAAAAAACAAUAGAAAUAAAGUUACAGCUUCAUUCUAAAGCUAACUUACAUUUUAACAUGACAAGCUUGCAUCAAUAGCUUUGAGGCCACAAAUUAGAUUGAUACAGUUGAAAAAUUCUAGCCUUAACAUGAAGUAGGCAUAAAGUUUUGAUAUCCUAUUACAUCAGUUCAAUCACAAACACUUAGCACUGUUAUCUUUGUUAACUGACCAGCAAUCUAAUCACAACGAGGCAACAGCUAGUAUGUUUUUGAAUCAGAUGAUUCAUUAGCCUACCUUCCAUAUGAUCACCGCUUCAUGACUGAAGGACUACC